CUCUUAAUUGGGACUAAUGCUACGUUUGGUAACGUUAAACAUGAUUAGACAAACGUUUGCAGUAAACAUUUCAAUUUUAUUGCACCAGAAUUUGAAAAACCUCCAAAUUAAACUGCGUGAGAUCGAGGUGGAGAAAGAGGGCACACAAACAAAACGUCCUCACAUCCCAAACUCAAAGUACAUUGAGCAGCAGGGGAAGACUGAGAAGGCUUUAAAAAAAAGGUAACUGACUGCACCAAUUGGUGCUUUAGUUCAAGUUAUCUCCCCUCUCUUGUUUCUUAAUGUGUAGGCAUGUUUGUAGGUUUGUAAUUGUGUCAUCUAUGAUGAUUUAAUGUGCUUUGACAAGAUAUAUGUGCAAGCUGGUGUAACGCAAGUUAAUAAGAGUUGGGCUAAAAGUCAGUCUGUGUCUUUCUGUCGGUUGACAAUAAAAAGGGAGGGUCUUCCAAAUACAAGCACCAGGAGGGUGAGAAGCAGGAGGAGGGUCAUGACAGACUUUCAAAGAACAAGGUUGCCGUGAAAAAGAAAAAUCUUUCUAAAUACGAGGAGGAGGAGGGAGAAGUGGAUGAUGAGGCGCGUCAUGACACAAAGAACAAGCGGGCCAGAGAAGAGGAGGAGCAUAUUGGGGAUGAAGACGACAAAGUACCAGCCUCAAAGAAAAAGAGCGCUGCUGAAUUUAGAAAGCAACUGGACGAACAGAUGUGGGA